rnacentral:lncRNA from 1 species
UCUGCCUGGCAAGAGUCAGCAAUAACAGUAAAAGCGAUUUGCAUCAACCCCACCACGACCGCCACCACCCAACAGCAACUGAAACAGGAGGAGCAACAGCUGUCGUACCAAACAGCAGCAGUAGCAGCAGUUGUCAUAUAAAAGAAACUCGAGUUUUCAAAGAAAACUUUAACGCAACAAGAACGAGAACAAGAAACACAGCAGGGAAACAGGUGUGGAGAGACGACAUUGAGAGUAAAACUGUGGCAGACGAUCAUUUCAGGAAGGAAUUUUGAAAGAGGAAAAAAACCCAACAGAGGAAAAUGGUGUUGAUUAAGAGUUAUGUCUAUUGUGUGGUCCUUCUCACUAUUUCACUGGCAGUGCCCACAACUCCGGCAUCGUUGUUUGACGGACUAAUGCCAAAAUUUCCAUCAAUGGAUUCCAUUUUUAACGGAAUACGAAACUACUUUCAAGAUGGAACUCGAGCAAAAUUCGU